GGAGACGUGUGCUAACUGGCAGGCAGCCUGUCCCGAACACAGGUGAUCCGAAAGGGUUUGGGGGUUCAAAUCCCCCCGUCUUCG
rnacentral:tRNA from 1 species